rnacentral:tRNA from 1 species
CGGUGGCGUGGGCGACGGGCGCGGUGUCGUCGACGUUCACGACGACCUGGUCGGUGUCGCUGGCGCCGUUCGGGUCGGUGACCGUCAGC